AACCUAAUGCUGUAAUUUGGAGGAUUCUGCUGGGGGCUUGUAGAAUAUAUGGAAACGUUAAGCUGGGCAGGCAUGCACAUGAGAAACUACUUGAAAUGAGGAGGGAUAAGAAGGGGGAUUAUCUGUUACUUUCCAAUAUAUAUGCUGCAUUAGGUGAGUGGGAUGGGGCUCAGAACGUGAGGAAGUUAAUGGACAAUAGUGGAGUGAGGGAAAAGCCUGGCUGUAGCCUAAUUGAAGCAGAUGAAAGUGCUCGUCUGCCAUUUUUGUUUGAUUCUGAAUACAAGUUAAAUUUGAGAAAUCAAAUACCAUGUGCUGUAUCUUGGUAAGAAAUGCUCUCAUGUCACUCUCUUUCAUGCUAAUGGCUUGGUGCAUCAAACCAAUAGUAAUAUGCUAAUUAUAAUAUUCAAAUAAAAAUAAAUACAAUUCAACUAUUCUUGUAAGUACAAUAUGUGGAUAAAAGAUAACAUCAUGGUCGUAUUCA
rnacentral:misc_RNA from 1 species